rnacentral:rRNA from 1 species
AGUCGUAACAAGGUUUCCGUAGGUGAACCUGCGGAAGGAUCAUUCAUAAUAAGUGUUUUAUGGCACUUUUUAAAUCCAUAUCCACCUUGUGUGCAAUGUCAGUCGGUCUUCUCUAUGGAGAUCGGCCAAACAUCAACCUAAUUUUUUAACUCUUUGUCUGAAAAAUAUUAUGAAUAAAAUAAUUCAAAAUACAACUUUCAACAACGGAUCUCUUGGCUCUCGCAUCGAUGAAGAACGCAGCGAAAUGCGAUACGUAAUGUGAAUUGCAGAAUUCAGUGAAUCAUCGAAUCUUUGAACGCAUAUUGCGCUCUUUGGUAUUCCGAAGAGCAUGCUUGUUUGAGUAUCAGUAAACACCUCAAAGCUUUUGAUUUUUUUUUGAAAGCUUUGGACUUGAGCAAUCCCAACACCAGUCUUUUUUAGAUCGGAGGCGGGUUGCUUGAAAUGCAGGUGCAGCUGGACAUUCUCCUGAGCUAAAAGCAUAUUCAUUUAGUCCCGUCAAACGGAUUAUUACUUUUGCUGCAGCUAACAUAAAGGGAGUUUGACCGUAUUGGCUGACUGAUGCAGGAUUUCACAGGGGUCGGCAACGACGCUUGUUAAACUCGAUCUCAAAUCAAGUAAGACUACCCGCUGAACUUAA